AUACGGAGGGGGUUAGCGUUGUUCGGAAUUACUGGGCGUAAAGCGCACGUAGGCGGAUUGGAAAGUUGGGGGUGAAAUCCCAGGGCUCAACCCUGGAACUGCCUCCAAAACUAACAGUCUAGAGUUCGAGAGAGGUGAGUGGAAUUCCAAGUGUAGAGGUGAAAUUCGUAGAUAUUUGGAGGAACACCAGUGGCGAAGGCGGCUCACUGGCUCGAUACUGACGCUGAGGUGCGAAAGCGUGGGGAGCAAACAAGAUUAGAAACCCAGUAGUCC
rnacentral:rRNA from 1 species